GGUUGCAUUUCAUCCGAACUAUUUAUGGAUAAUUUUAUGAGAGUUAUACACAUAUGUUUAUUAAUAUAUCAUAAGUUAUACUAUAUUAGUAUGAAGUUAUGUUAUUUAAUUAGUUUUAGUCUUAAAUUAAUUAUGAAUUAAUUUAGAGAUUAAAAGGAAGACUAAUUAGAUUAUGGGCUAUUGGUUUUAUAUGGUGUGGGCUAAGACUCAUUUGUUAAUAGGCUAGGCUUGGAUGGAAGUCCAUGGAGCUUUUAACCCAUGGAUCCUUAGAAAGGAAAAGACAUGGGUUAUUAGGGUUUCACCCUAACCAUGCACACUAUAUAAGCAUGCUUAUGAUGCAUGAAAUGGCAACUAGUGAACUAGUGGUAUAUGCUUGUGUGUGGCCGAAAAUAUAAGUGUGUGUGUACUCUCUCAAAGUUUUCCAAGAGUUUGUGGUGAUUUGUGAUUCCAUUUGAGGCAUUCACACUAUUGGUGCUUGGCCCUCAAACUCCAAAGAAUCAAUCUCAUCAAAAAGGUAUGUAAUCUCUUCUAACUCUUUUAUGUUGAAAUGUUCCCCAUGCCAUGUUAGAUAGGUUAUGAACCUUGGAAAAUUAUUAUUUUGCAUGUAUUUAGACAAACAUAGAUCCAAGGUUUAUUAGGGUUGCAUGCACACUUAGGAAGUGUUAGAUUGCUCAAAACCCAACAGUGGUAUCAGAGCCUAGGCUUGCUUGUUUGAUACUUGAUGCAAAAUAGUGAAAAAAGUUGAAAUUGUUGCUGUCUGGCUGAUGGACUCGCCGAGUCCAUGGGGGGACUCGCCGAGUUCAAGGCAAAAUUCAUCCUACUCGGCGAGUAGGUUCGUGCACUCGGCGAGUAGAAUGAUCAGAAUGCAGAAUUUCGACUUUUGCUGCUGGAAAUGGACUAGAAACAUUACCCUAAACUGUUUUGGUGUUUUAAAACUUGUUUUAGUUGGUGUAAUGGUUGUUCUAAUCCAUUUACAAUAGCAUAUAUCAAAAUUCCAUGAUUUUUAUGUGUUCAUAUAAUUCUUGAAAUUUUGAUGAUCAUGUUCAUGUUCUUAUGAAUUUAGAAGAUGAUAGGAAUUAUUUGCUGAAUUGUUUAGAAUUAAUUCUUGAUCAUUUAUGUGUUUUAAUGGAGUCCAUAAUUUGUCCUCAAGUUAUGGAUAUCCAAAGGUCACUUUUCUUUAACACACACAUUUAAACACAUAAGUUACAUGAAAAUGAAGAGUCUUCAUUUUUAUGAACCUUUAAUUCAUAAGUUAUGAAAUGAAAAGUUUUGGAUAGUUACAAAACUUGCCCUCAAGUUUUGGAAUUUGAAAAGUUUCACACACUUUAAUAAACUUUAAUUCCAACACUUAGAGUUUUAAAAGUUAAAAUUCAACACUUAUACUAUUUAUAACAUUAAUGGUUAAUUAUUAUAUAUAUGUAUAAGAACAAGUCGUUUUACCGUUAGUAGGCCUCAUUCACGAAGCCGGUCUAUAAGGUGGGUAUAAGGUUGUUGCCUAUAAAAUGGCGACUUAAUGGGUGUCCACUCUCACCCACCGCUUGCUUGAUCGGUGGAGGGUCGUUAGCCGAACGGGUAGGACAAUGACUUUAAAUUCUCAUUAAAAGUAUAAUGAUUAUUAUAAAGUAACUAAAAAUUUUUUAUUUAAUUCCCAAUCUUAGUUACUUUAGGAAAAAUGUGAAUUUGGUGCUAGCCCAUGGAAUUCACACUUUGUACCUUACCAAGUCGUUGGUGGAGCGUGUGUGGUUAACCGGCACACUAACUUGGACUAGUAAGGAUCACGAAGGGUGACUUAAUGUUUGUCAUAGAUCAAUGGAGCGUGUGUGGUUAACCGGCACAUUGAUUAGGUGAUAAUAUUAAGGGUACCAAGUGAAUUGGUAUGGUUAUUCACACCUUGUUUUGUGAUCCUCGGCAUCCCAGUCACAAAAUUUGAGAGGGCACACUCGAGAUUGAAACAUGCCAUUGAAAAGUUCAAUGAAUCUCAAAAGAUCUAGGAAUUUCAAAUCCAAUUAAAACCUAAUAAAUUAUUUCGUUUUUCAUGGUGGAAAUUGGUGAAUCGUCAUUCGCCUACCUUCAAAUAUUUUAUAGCUUGGAUUACGGCAUCCCUCUUCCAAAUUAUAAAAUAUUGUGUUGGGUCCUAGCCUUAAUAUUUCAUAUUGGGUGUUAUAUUAAGGACUUUGAAUCAACUAACUUGAUUUUCUCCCAUUAUAGAUGUCUGGUUCAGACAACUAUGAUCUUCCCAAAUCUCUUGAAGAUGGUGUCCCUCAACAUCAUGCUUCACUUCCUCCACCUCCUCCAAUUAUUCUCCCUCACCCACAAGUUCUUGAAAAGUUUAAAGUCACUCAAUCCCUAUUGGCAAGCAUAGUCUAUGUGUGCUCACAUCUUGGAGAUAAAGUCACAUAUUGACAAGCCGGGAGAGUUGGGUGUCAAAGUCUCGUGAAAGUUGGAUGUUCAAUCACUUUCUUAGUAACAUAGUGAGUCUCUUUGGGACUACUAUGAGACAGACUAUGACAUGACCCUUAAUGAUGUUAUCUAUUUGCUUGGUGUUGUGGAAUCAGCAAUGAUUUGGAACACCAGUAAAGCAAAUUUGAUUAAAAGAACAACUUCCCAAGUCUUAAAUGGACAUUGACAAUGGUAGCAUUGGAUAUCUAGAAAAGGAUUUCUCUUCCCAAUGGAAAGGGAUCGGCCAUAGUCAACUCGGUUGACCAAAUGGUAAAGAGAAAGGCUAAGUCUGAGAUAGUCUCAUGUGCCAUUACCAAAGGGUCCAUGUGUUUUGUUGCCAAAGGAAGGGGCAUUGGUUGCGAAGCUGCCCUAUUCACCUGAAAGGUCAUAAGGUUGAUCAAGUCAAGAGGUUUGACUCUACUUCGGGUAAAGUCCACUGUCUAACUCUAUUAAGUUCCUAUUUGGAGAUUCUUAUUACAUAAUGUGAAUGGGUCACAUGCUGAUGUUUUUAAGAAUCAAAGAAAAGAUAGGAAGCUUAAAGUAAGUAUAUGUUGAUUCUGAUUGCGAAGGUGGGUUUCGAUCGCAUGGUUCGGUAAUCAGAAUUUUGAGCUGUUGCUUAAGAGUUAUAAUAUAUUGCUUAUGAAUAGAUAACAACAAGGUUUUCAUGUGGAUUGUAAGGAUAAGUUUUUCCGCAAAGUUUUAAAAAAAAAAAAAAAAAGGGUUUUAAUUUUAUUUAUUUUAAAAAUAUCCUUACAAUGGCAUCUGUGGAAAAUUGUUGCUUAUAUGUUUCCAGUAAUAGCAAUAUUGGAAAGUGGAUUUGAUUCUUUCAUUUGUGGUAGUGUCUGAAUUUACCAAAUGAAGAAAGUUUUUCAUCACCCAAGUUUCAAUUGGACAGAAACUUGGAAUCAUACAAGUUGUAUUGUAUGAUGAAUGAGAAUUUUCAUCUUUGAAAAUUAAGACUAAUUCUUUGAUCACAUGUAUAUGUGAGUCAAUUGAAGGACUAAGGAAUUAGGUACACUGGGUGUGCGCUGGUCAAGGUCCACCACAAAGAUUGAUUUGUCAUGAUUUACUAAAGAUUAGUAAAUAUGAUUAUACUUAUGAGGUUAAGUAUAAUUCUGUAACAUUGGAAAGGUUACAAUGUAUGACAAAACAAAUGAGAAGAAUCAAAUUAGGCAGAAAGAUAAAAGUUUCUCAAAUCUGAAAGGAUGGGAGAGUACUUUAGUAUCGUAUUUCAUGAUCAUCUUAAUGAUUAUGAAACCAUAUCACAAAUUCAUACUCUAAGGACGUCUUAGUGCAUUGUUAUGGCUAAGAAGAGAGGUCAUGAAUUGUUGGAUUGGUUAAAAUCAAGAAGAUGAGUCAUACUUCGUUCCAAAACAAUUCUUAGAGUCAUACUCCAAGAUUGUAACUUUGAGUGACAUAAAGGAAGAUUUAUUAACACUAGUCAAAUGUAAGAGUAAAAUGUUUUCUACUCUUGUACAUUUGAGAUUGGUAAGUUGUGAUGUCUUGGAUGAGACAAAGACCAACUAAGACCAAUUGUGUGAAGUGUUAGUCUUGAUAAGAAUCCGCACUAUCCCUUGAAUAUUUGUUUUGUCAAGGAAUGGUUCUUGACUGGGGAAACUUAUAUGUCAAGGGGACAGUGGGAGCCUUAAAGAUCCUGAAAGAGUUUCAAGAUUUAAUCAAGAGUAAAACCUGUAAUUUAUCACUAGCACACGACUUAAGGUUUGCAACCUAUCGUGUUGACAUAAUUCUUAUUUCUGUACCUACUUCAAAUAAGUUGAAUUUGCAUGUGAGUUAUCAGAGUUCAACUUGGAAGCAUUGGUGGGCCUUGUGCUACCAAGGUGACAAGAAACUAAGAUUGAACAAGUUUAAUCCAUGUAAGGCUGAAUUUGUCACUAACCUUAUCUUGUGAUUAUGGUUUUGACAAAUUCACAUGGAUAGGAACUCAUACACUAUAAAAUCUAAGUGUCAUAAGGUUUCUCUCCGAUUCAUGAAAAUGAUGGUGAGGAAACGCUUUCACUAAGUAGAUUUUACGUAGAUAUCAAUUGUGUUAUUUGCAUUUUCAAAAGUCGUUAGUGGAGCGCGUGUGGUUAACCGGCACACUAACAUGGACUUGUGAGAAAUGGCAAAUGCCUAAGCAAUUGAGACUAUGAUUACGGCAUCCCUUUUCAUAGUUCUGAAAAUUGUUUAGACACACAUGUGAGCUAUCUAAGAAAGGGUGUAUGAAUCUAAAUUUCAGAAGUCCAGCAGAUUUCUGGAAAUAUGUCAGAGCUAGUGGGAGCAUAAGUGUUAUGCUGAUAAUCAUCAUGUUAGUGGGAGCAUGAUUAUUACGUUUAGUGUUGCAAGUUAGCAAUGUUAAUUAUAGAAAACAAAGUUUCAAUUCGUGAAGUUGCAGGGGUUGAAAAGUUGUUUUGCUAUAAUUAAGGGAGAGGAAAUUAUACUUCAUUUCAAUUCUAAAGCUUAGAUUGAGAUUUUAAUCAUCUUUAGUCAAGAAUAUAUAUAUGAAUUUUAUGUUGGAAUGGUUCAACUUGAAGAAAUUCUAUAUAUAUUGCGUUUUCAAAAUUCGAUUAUGAUUACGGCAUCCCUCUUCAUAGUUAAAUUUUGAAAACAUGGCAAAUAAAAAAUAUUGUAGCAAAAGACUGGUCUAGUAUCAUGUCUUUAUGUCAAACAUCAUGAAUCGUGUCCCAUAUGCUUCGGAUAUAGGAUCGAUUGCAUGUGCUAUAAUAUUCAUCUUUUCUAAAUUUUCCAAAUGCUUAAGGCAUUGAGAAGGGAAAAGUCUAGAACUGGAUAUGACUAAAGUGAUUAAGCAAUUGUCGAGGACAAUCUGAGGUUCGCCAAAGAUUGGUUGCUCAGGGAAAGUUGGAAGUAUGAUGUAAGUUGUCGGAAAGGACCAUAUUGACAUAUUCUGAAAAGAAGUAACUCUUGUUCGGAAGUGAUAGUCAAAAUGGGACUAUGGAAAUGUCUCCAUAGGUGGAAGUUAUUCAAUCUAUGUAAGAUUAGAAAACCUUAAUGCAAGAAGGAUGUUCAAAGCAAUGUACUUUGAAUAUGAGACUUCCGUUCCAUAGAAGUUGACCUUCUUUGGAAUACUCUGUAAUGACUGGUGACAAGGUUUUGGUGACUUUGUGCAUAAUCAUUACAAGAGGAACAUUGCAUAAAAGUUUAAAAUCUAACAGAUUUUUUGGUAAAUGAUAGGAAUCGGGGAUUCUCACAUUUACAAUAAGGAUUUGGGAUUGUGAAAUGAGUAUCAUUGGAAUCAUGUUCAAUUGAUCUACAUCACAAUGUAAGGAUCAUAGACAAACAUAGUGUGCAUACUUGGAGUAUGGCAUAACUAUUGUUUAGAAAAACAAAGUGUACAUGCUAGGAGCAUGGGACGACUGUUGUUUUUAUUCAAGUCUUAAGUUGAUUGUUUGAAACAUUAUACAAUGAAUAAUGUGUAAUCAAUAUGGUGAUAAAUAAAAGGUGGUUCUAUUUAUAUUCAAAAGGGUUCUGAGACCAUAUUGGAUUCGAUUAUUAUUGUGUUUCACUUUGCAUGUUUUGACUUCCAAAAUAGCUAGGUUAUUCUUUCCGAAUGACUAAGUUAUUUAAACACUCCACAGUCGUUCAUAUGUUGGAAGUAGGUAUGAAUCAAGACUGUCAUGAAUCGAGUUUGUAGAUGGCUAAAUGGGUUUAGUCAUAGCAAUGGUUGCUACAACAUUCAUGAGUGCUCAUAAGUUAUGAGUAUUGGAAUAAACCCACGCUCACUUGUAUCACUUCAUGGAAUUUAUCUCGAGUGAUCGUGAGACGGUAAUAUCAUAUAAAUCUUCAAACCUAGAGAUAUGAGUUGUUACCUAUGAGUUGGUUGUGCAUUGAUUGCACGUAAACGCAUCAGUAACUUGAUGUUAUAAAACGUGCCUUUGUGUACAAUUCAACAAGUAGUAGAACAAGCAUAUGAGUCGAAGUUUAUCUGUUCCUUCUAGAAAUAGAAGCGAUAUCUGGGCCCCUCGAUGAUUUUGUUGUGACCUAUGUACCGGCCGGUCAGAACUAAAUUGAUGUGUUCGAUUAAGUUCUUUGUCAAACAAAUCGAAAAUCGGGAAACAAACUGCUGGACAAUAAGUACGACGUUGUUCCAUGUAUUUGUCCGGCUGAUAUCAUGAGAACAGAGGAUUAUAUGAUCACUUAUCUAAAAUGGCGCUUCAUAGUUCAACAGAGUUUUCGAGAGCUACGAUUGCUGGUUGGUUCCUGAAGUAACAUACGCAAAUAUAGUUAUUAGACUUAUCCAAGUGGGAGUCUGUUGGAUAAGGUGUCUAAGUCCAUAACUUAUUUGGUAUAUACUUGACCCGACCCGGCAUGGUCCAUUUGGGUUGCAUCUCACCCGAACUUUUUAUGGAUAAUUUUAUGAGAGUUAUACACAUAUGUUUAUUAAUAUAUCAUAAGUUAUAAUAUAUUAAUAUGAAGUUAUGUUAUUUAAUUAGUUUUAGUCUUAAAUUAAUUAUGAAUUAAUUUAGAGAUUAAAAGGAAGACUAAUUAGAUUAUGGGCUAUUGGUUUUAUAUGGUGUGGGCUAACACUCAUUUGUUAAUGGGCUAGGCUUGGAUGGAAGUCCAUGGAUGAUCCAUGGAGCUUUUAACCCAUGGAUCCUUGGAAAGGAAAAGACAUGGGUUAUUAGGGUUUCACCCUAACCAUGCACACUAUAUAAGCAUGCUUAUGAUGCAUGAAAUGGCAACUAGUGAACUAGUGGUAUAUGCUUGUGUGUGGCCGAAAAUAUAAGUGUGUGUACUCUCUCAAAGUUUUCCAAGCGUUUGUGGUGAUUUGUGAUUCCAUUUGAGGCAUUCACACUAUUGGUGCUUGGCCCUCAAACUCCAAAGAAUCAAUCUCAUCAAAAAGGUAUGUAAUCUCUUCUAACUCUUUUAUGUUUAAAAGUACCCCAUGCCAUGUUAGAUAGGUUAUGAACCUUGGAAAAUUAUUAUUUUGCAUAUAUUUAGACAAACAUAGAUCCAAGGUUUAUUAGGGUUGCAUGAACACUUAGGAAGUGUUAGAUUGCUCAAAACCCAACAAAAAUGUCAUGGACUACCCCUAUAGUUUUACAUCCAACUGUUAUGGGCUAAACCCAUGGUUGUUCCUUACAAUGUUGAGGGCCAAAUCCCAGUUAUACAUACAAGUUCCAUAGGCUACCACACCAUAGUCUUUCAUGUAAUUAUUUGCUCAAGCUCUGAUUAAUUAAGUCGUUAGCCAAUAGUUUCUAAAUGGCUUCUAAGGGAUCAAAGGGUUCAUAAAAAUCCAAACUUUAUGGACAUGCAUGUCCUUCCCCAAACUAGGUGAAAACAUGAUAAAAGGGACCUAAAGUUCAUAAAUGAUUACCAAAACUACUAUAAAUCCUAGAUCCAUGAGAUAUAAUGACCAAGGGACUUAGGCAAGCGAUAAUGUUGCAAACUUUAUCACUUCCAUCUAUCCGAAACUCAAAUAUGGACCAAAACAUACCAAAUAACCUAGAUCUAAA
rnacentral:lncRNA from 1 species